rnacentral:rRNA from 1 species
UCCGUAGGCGGGCGUCUAAGUCAGUGGUGAAAUCUUACAGCUCAACUGUAAAAUUGCCAUUGAUACUGGAUGUCUUGAAUUAGUGCGAAGUGGUUAGAAUGUGUAGUGUAGCGGUGAAAUGCAUAGAUAUUACACAGAAUACCAAUUGCGAAGGCAGAUCACUAACACUAUAUUGACGCUGAGGGACGAAAGCGUGGGGAGCGAACAGGAUUAGAUACCCUGGUAGUCC